AACAGAGUCAAGUAUUAGAUACAUAAAUUUUUGACAUUUAAUAUAAUAAUCAAUAAUCAAAUAUUCUGCUGCUCAAAAUUUUAAAACAAAUUCCCAAACUCUCGUAGCGUAACCAUCGGGCGCUAUCCCCCCUCAUUUUCUUCCAGCAACCUCUCACGGGCCGUCGUCCUUGUAGCACCCUCCUCCAAAGCCCACCUCGGCGCCGCCUACCACGUGCUCAACCUCGGUGCCAUCGUCAAUUUGAAUGAAGAAACUGACCGUUGUGCCUCCUCCUCUGCCACCCAACCUAGAUCCAUUGUCGCGCCUCUUCCGCUGCCUUCGAACCUAGAUCCACCGUCGCGCCUCUUCCGUUACCGCUAAAGCCCAAUUCCCACCUUGACGCUGCCAGACCGAUCACGAAGCUCCUACUUCGCUGCUGCUAUAUGUUUAUAGUUACCUUAUGGAUUGUGAAAUGAAAAAAAUGGGUGCAGAUUCAAGCUUUAUACCGCCAUUAAUCUAUGCGAUGAUGGUAACUUUGAGGGAUUUGGCGGUGGCAACAGUGGCAGUUGGGUCACUUUUACUGGGAUUUAUGCUGGCCAGAUUGAUAAAUCCCAACUUGGACUCCAGGCUCUUUCUUCACCAUGCUUUCUCUGCCACAUUCUUCGUUGGGGUUAUGCAGGCUUCAAUAGGUUUGUUUAGAAGUGGAACCAAGAGCCAGGUACAAAGAAGGCUAUCUCCAGCAAAAUAAUUCCUUUAGAAACUUAGCAGAUUUCUGAGCAACAGGGGAGAGGCCAAUCUGGAUCAGAAAAGUAACAAACUUCUUCCCUAGUGUUUCAACUCAAUCAGGGAGCAUGUUGAUAAAAAGAAUCGUCAUUCUCAACGUCUUAGAACAUAUAAUUUUUUUUUUUUUAAAAGAUGGAAGGUAAUCUCUAAUCCCUCGCAUAAACACUAGAGAGCAAAUACUUGUCUCUCAGAUUAUUGCUUGUAAAAUUCGUAUCCUCUAUCUAUUGUGUCUAUCAUGUAAUUGAAGAUGAUGUGCAUCCUGACCUUCUGUUGCUUUAGUUUUUAAGCUUUGAAGAGAUCAUACUUGACAUGGAAAUGAAGGGAAUUCUAGAUAUGAGUAAGGUAUAUGCAUCUUUCAAGCUAUUACUUGAUAUUACCUUCAUUUUUCAGUUUCUAAUGUACAGAGUUUACUGGACAUAUGUUUAACAUGCAAAGUUUUAUAACAUCUGCAAGAGACAAAAGGCUGUUAGAGAAGCUUAUGAUUGCCUAAACUUGAUGGUCAAGUACAUGGCAUCAAAUUCAGUCAUCAGCCUAUUCGUAUUUUAAUUACUAGAGGUUUCUUUUUAUGGUGGUUUGAAAUUACAUGAAUUAUCUAUUUGGUUCACAUUCUUCUUUCUAUGGUACAGAGGAAAUGACUGAGGCGGGGAUCCGAACUUCCUAUUUAUGUUAUUACUUGCUAUUUUCAAAAUGAGAUGAUGGGAUCGGUUUUAUUUGAAUAUAAAUCACUUUAUAAAUUAAAUAACCUGCUCGUUGGUGAUGCAGGUUGUACAUUUUGAAAAUAGUUUGGUUGAUUCUAGGAAUGAGCUACAGCACAAGUAUGUCUACUUAUUCUACAAAUUAAAUGCUUGUUUGGAAGGCACCUUUAAAAAUUUUCUCCUUCCCCUUUUGAUAGUAUUGUAUUAUUAUUUUUUUUUGUUGGACGUUCUGGCAAAAAGGUGGAGCCCUGCGCAUAGCAAACACAUCGAUAUUAUAAAUAAAGUAGUAUAGAUAUUAAAUAAUCAUAAAACAUACAAGUAUGUCAGUAUCCAUGUUAUAAAUAAUCAUACAGUUCAUAAAUUUUAAGCGAGCUAAAUUAUGAAGACACAUGCAAGUAUGUCAGCAUAUAUUUCGGUGGAACUUGUACUUGAUAUGCACAUGUUUACGGCUGUUUGUAUUAUUGGAUUUGGUUUACAAAUCUUGUAUCUGUGUUUGCACCUGUGCUUCUUAAGUUGGUCUGUUUUUGGAAAUUAAUUUGCAUAACUCAUGUAAUGUGUAGAAUGAUGGUCUUCAUGCUUCAAAUAAGAUUACUGCAUUUGAUUUUGAUGGAUGUGUUGCAAAAACUGCUAUGGAUAAGGCAUGUAUAGUUAUAUUUCAUUUUCAUGUGAUUGAAUUGAAUUUGGAGUACAUUUACCCACUAUAUUUUUUUCAGCGUUGAUCCAUAAUGAAAAGGAGUUCAUGAAGAAAUAUUGUCCGACACAACUCUUGGAGGAAAACUGAUUAAAGAUGUCAAAUAUUGAUCAAAUUUGAGGACAAAUGUUGAAGAAUGAUCAGGGGAAGAUCAAUUGCUAGGAAUUAUUACUUCAAAUAACUUUUUGGUGAGGGGUAGAACUUGAAAAGUUGUAUUACUUACUUUGUUUGUUAUAGAUUUGUUUUAAAAUUGAAAGUGUUGUAUUUCAUGGAAUUGAACAGUAAAUGUAAUUUGUGGAAUUAAAGAGUCAAUACAAAUUAACAUUAGUGAUUGUAAUUUUUUAUGAUUAAUGAUAGUUUGUUGCCAUA